rnacentral:rRNA from 1 species
AAACAACAGGGAUUACCUCAGUAACGGCGAGUGAAGCGGUAACAGCUCAAAUUUGAAAGCUAGCUCUUUUAGGGUUCGCAUUGUAAUUUGUAGAAGAUGCUUCGGGUGUGGCCCCGGUCUAAGUUCCUUGGAACAGGACGUCAUAGAGGGUGAGAAUCCCGUAUGUGACUGGGUGCUUUCGCUCAUGUGAAGCUCUUUCGACGAGUCGAGUUGUUUGGGAAUGCAGCUCAAAAUGGGUGGUAAAUUUCAUCUAAAGCUAAAUAUUGGCCAGAGACCGAUAGCGCACAAGUAGAGUGAUCGAAAGAUGAAAAGCACUUUGGAAAGAGAGUUAAACAGUACGUGAAAUUGUUGAAAGGGAAGCGCUUGCAACCAGACUUGCGCGCUGAUGAUCAUCCGGGCUUCUGCCCGGUGCACUCGUCUGCGCUCAGGCCAGCAUCGGUUUCGGUGGUGGGAUAAAGGCCUUGGGAAUGUAGCUCCUCUCGGGGAGUGUUAUAGCCCUCGGUGCAAUGCCGCCUACCGGGACCGAGGACCGCGCUUCGGCUAGGAUGCUGGCGUAA